GCUUAACACAUGCAAGUCGAGCGGAGCGAGGGUGCUUGCACCUUAGCUUAGCGGCGGACGGGUGAGUAAUGCUUAGGAAUCUGCCUAUUAGUGGGGGACAACAUUCCGAAAGGAAUGCUAAUACCGCAUACGCCCUACGGGGGAAAGCAGGGGAUCUUCGGACCUUGCGCUAAUAGAUGAGCCUAAGUCGGAUUAGCUAGUUGGUGGGGUAAAGGCCUACCAAGGCGACGAUCUGUAGCGGGUCUGAGAGGAUGAUCCGCCACACUGGGACUGAGACACGGCCCAGACUCCUACGGGAGGCAGCAGUGGGGAAUAUUGGACAAUGGGCGGAAGCCUGAUCCAGCCAUGCCGCGUGUGUGAAGAAGGCCUUUUGGUUGUAAAGCACUUUAAGCGAGGAGGAGGCUACUGGUACUAAUACUACUGGAUAGUGGACGUGACGUACUCGCAGAAUAAGCACCGGCUAACUCUGUGCCAGCAGCCGCGGUAAUACAGAGGGUGGCGAGCGUUAAUCGGAUUUACUGGGCGUAAAGCGUGCGUAGGCGGCUGAUUAAGUCGGAUGUGAAAUCCCUGAGCUUAACUUAGGAAUUGCAUUCGAUACUGGUCAGCUAGAGUAUGGGAGAGGAUGGUAGAAUUCCAGGUGUAGCGGUGAAAUGCGUAGAGAUCUGGAGGAAUACCGAUGGCGAAGGCAGCCAUCUGGCCUAAUACUGACGCUGAGGUACGAAAGCAUGGGGAGCAAACAGGAUUAGAUACCCUGGUAGUCCAUGCCGUAAACGAUGUCUACUAGCCGUUGGGGCCUUUGAGGCUUUAGUGGCGCAGCUAACGCGAUAAGUAGACCGCCUGGGGAGUACGGUCGCAAGACUAAAACUCAAAUGAAUUGACGGGGGCCCGCACAAGCGGUGGAGCAUGUGGUUUAAUUCGAUGCAACGCGAAGAACCUUACCUGGUCUUGACAUAGUAAGAACUUUCCAGAGAUGGAUUGGUGCCUUCGGGAACUUACAUACAGGUGCUGCAUGGCUGUCGUCAGCUCGUGUUCGUGAGAUGUUGGGUUAAGUCCCGCAACGAGCGCAACCCUUUUCCUUAUUUGCCAGCACUUCGGGUGGGAACUUUAAGGAUACUGCCAGUGACAAACUGGAGGAAGGCGGGGACGACGUCAAGUCAUCAUGGCCCUUACGACCAGGGCUACACACGUGCUACAAUGGUCGGUACAAAGGGUUGCUACCUAGCGAUAGGAUGCUAAUCUCAAAAAGCCGAUCGUAGUCCGGAUUGGAGUCUGCAACUCGACUCCAUGAAGUCGGAAUCGCUAGUAAUCGCGGAUCAGAAUGCCGCGGUGAAUACGUUCCCGGGCCUUGUACACACCGCCCGUCACACCAUGGGAGUUUGUUGCACCAGAAGUAGCUAGCCUAACUGCAAAGAGGGCGGUUACCACGGUGUGGC
rnacentral:rRNA from 1 species